AGGGUAAUAGUUAACUAUAACAUUUAACUUGCACUUAAAAAGUAUUGAAAAUUUCAAUUUACCUUA
rnacentral:tRNA from 1 species